AAGCGAGUUGUAACGGAGCGUUCAGUUACUUGACGUAGACCCGAAACCGGGCGACCUACCCAUGAGCAGGAUGAAGCGAAAGUAAAAUUUCGUGGAGGUCCGAACCCACGAGCGUUGAAAAGCUCGGGGAUGACUUGUGGGUAGCGGUGAAAUUCCAAUCGAGCCCGGAGAUAGCUGGUUCUCCCCGAAAUAGCUUUAGGGCUAGCCUCAAGGUGAGAGAUACGGAGGUAGAGCACUGAAUGUCCUAGGGGGUAUUGCACCUACCGAAGACUAUCAAACUCCGAAUGCCGUCAUCUUAUACUUGGGAGUCAGACUGUGGGUGAUAAGAUUCAUAGUCGAAAGGGCAACAGCCCAGAUCGUCAGCUAAGGUCCCUAAAUGUAAGUUAAGUGGUAAAGGAUGUGGGAUUGCACAGACAACCAGGAUGUUGGCUUAGAAGCAGCCACUCAUUCAAAGAGUGCGUAAUAGCUCACUGGUCGAGUGAUCCUGCGCCGAAGAUUUCCGGGGCUAAAACUUACUACCGAAGCUACGGCAUCAGUAAUGAUGGGUAGGGGAGCUUCCCAUACGGGUUGAAGCAUGACCGUAAGGACAUGUGGACAGUAUGGGAGUGAGAAUGUUGGCAGGAGUAGCGAGAUGUGGGUGAGAAUCCCACAGGCCGUAAACCCAAGGUUUCCAGGGGAAGGUUCGUCCGCCCUGGGUUAGUCGGGACCUAAGCUGAGGCCGAAAGGCGUAGGUGAUGGACAACAGGUUGAUAUUCCUGUACUACCGAUAACCGUUUGAGAGAAGGGAUGACACAGUAGGAUAAGCUAAGCACACUGUUGGUUAUGUGUGCCCAAGCAUUGAGGCAGUCAAAGUAGGCAAAUCCGCUUUGAUAAUGCUGGGAUGUGAUGGGGAGCGAAAUUUAGUAGCGAAGUAGCUGAUUUCACACUGUCAAGAAAAGUCUCUAUCGAGGUUAAAGGUACCCGUACCGCAAACCGACACAGGUGGGUGAGGAGAGUAUCCUAAGGCCAGCGAGAGAACUGUUGUUAAGGAACUCGGCAAAAUGACCCCGUAACUUAGGGAUAAGGGGUGCCACCAUCAGGUGGCCGCAGAGAAUAGGCCCAAGCGACUGUUUACCAAAAACAUAGGUUUCUGCUAAGUCGCAAGACGAUGUAUAGGAGCUGACGCCUGCCCGGUGCUGGAAGGUUAAGGGGAUCUGUUAGAGCAAUCGAAGCAGUGAACUUAAGCCCCAGUAAACGGCGGCCGUAACUAUAACGGUCCUAAGGUAGCGAAAUUCCUUGUCGGGUAAGUUCCGACCCGCACGAAAGGCGUAACGAUUUGGGCACUGUCUCAACAACAGACUCGGUGAAAUUGUAAUUCCGGUGAAGAUGCCGGAUACCUGCGACAGGACGGAAAGACCCCAUGGAGCUUUACUGUAGCUUGACAUUGGGUCUUGGUACUACAUGUACAGGAUAGGUGGGAGGCUUUGAAACCAGGACGCCAGUUUUGGCGGAGCCAUCCUUGGGAUACCACCCUUGUAGUACUGGGACUCUAACCAUAGGCCAUGAAUCUGGUCUUGGGACACUGUCAGGUGGGCAGUUUGCCUGGGGCGGUCGCCUCCCAAAAGGUAACGGAGGCGCUCAAAGGUUCUCUCAGUACGGUCGGAAAUCGUACGUAGAGUGUAAAGGCAAAAGAGAGCUUGAUUGCAAGACAUACAGGUCGAGCAAGGAUGAAAAUCGGACUUAGUGAUCCGGUGGUUCUGCGUGGAAGGGCCAUCGCUCAACGGAUAAAAGCUACCCUGGGGAUAACAGGCUUAUCUCCCCCAAGAGUCCACAUCGACGGGGAGGUUUGGCACCUCGAUGUCGGCUCAUCACAUCCUGGGGCUGUAGUAGGUCCCAAGGGUUGGGCUGUUCGCCCAUUAAAGUGGUACGCGAGCUGGGUUCAGAACGUCGUGAGACAGUUCGGUCCCUAUCCGUCGCAGGCGUAGGAAAUUUGAGAAGACCUGUCCUUAGUACGAGAGGACCGGGAUGGACGUACCUCUGGUGUACCAGUUGUCCUGCCAAGGGCAUGGCUGGGUAGCUAUGUACGGAAUGGAUAAGCGCUGAAAGCAUCUAAGCGCGAAGCCAACUUCAAGAUAAGAUUUCCCACCGCAAGGGUAAGACCCCAGAAAGACUAUCUGGUUGAUAGGUCGAAGGUGUAAGUG
rnacentral:rRNA from 1 species